rnacentral:rRNA from 1 species
GACGUAGGGCGCGAGCGUUGUCCGGAUUUAUUGGGCGUAAAGAGCUCGUAGGCGGCUUGUUGCGUCGGCUGUGAAAACUCGGGGCUCAACUCCGAGCUUGCAGUCGAUACGGGCAGGCUAGAGUUCGGCAGGGGAGACUGGAAUUCCUGGUGUAGCGGUGAAAUGCGCAGAUAUCAGGAGGAACACCGGUGGCGAAGGCGGGUCUCUGGGCCGAUACUGACGCUGAGGAGCGAAAGCGUGGGGAGCGAACAGG